UACGAAGGGGGCUAGCGUUGCUCGGAAUCACUGGGCGUAAAGCGCACGUAGGCGGAUUGUUAAGUCAGGGGUGAAAUCCUGGAGCUCAACUCCAGAACUGCCUUUGAUACUGGCGAUCUCGAGUCCGGGAGAGGUGAGUGGAACUCCGAGUGUAGAGGUGAAAUUCGUAGAUAUUCGGAAGAACACCAGUGGCGAAGGCGGUCUGCUGGGCCGUUGCUGACGCUGAGGCGCGACAGCGUGGGGAGCAAACAGG
rnacentral:rRNA from 1 species